UACGGGGGGGGCAAGCGUUGUUCGGAAUUACUGGGCGUAAAGGGCUCGUAGGUGGCCAACUAAGUCAGACGUGAAAUCCCUCGGCUUAACCGGGGAACUGCGUCUGAUACUGGAUGGCUUGAGUUCGGGAGAGGGAAGCGGAAUUCCCGGUGUAGUGGUGAAAUGCGUAGAUAUCGGGAGGAACACCAGUGGCGAAGGCGGCUUCCUGGCCUGUUCUUGACGCUGAGGCGCGAAAGCUAGGGGAGCAAACGGG
rnacentral:rRNA from 1 species